AUUGAACGCUGGCGGCAGGCUUAACACAUGCAAGUCGAGCGAGCGGCGGACGGGUGAGUAAUGUCUGGGAAACUGCCUGAUGGAGGGGGAUAACUACUGGAAACGGUAGCUAAUACCGCAUACCAUCAGAUGUGCCCAGAUGGGAUUAGCUUGUAGGUGGGGUAAUGGCUCACCUAGGCGACGCUCCCUAGCUGGGCUGAGAGGAUGACCAGCCACACUGGAACUGAGAAACGUUCCAGACGCCGACGGGAGGGAGCAGUGGUGAAUAUUGCACAAUGGGCGCAAGCCUGAUGCAGCCAUGCCGCGUGGUGUAAGAAGGCCUUCGGGGUGUAAAGCACUUUCAGCGAGGAGGCGUUACCCGCAGAAGAAGCACCGGCUAACUCCGUGCCAGCAGCCGCGGUAAUAC
rnacentral:rRNA from 1 species